GAUGAACGCUAGCGAUAGGCCUAACACAUGCAAGUCGAGCGGUAGAGGACUUCGGUUCUUGAGAGCGGCGCACGGGUGAGUAACACGUAUGCAACCUACCUACAACAGGGGGAUAGCCCGGAGAAAUUCGGAUUAAUACCCCAUAAUACAGGGAUCCCGCAUGGGAAUAUUUGUUAAAGAUUUAUCGGUUGUAGAUGGGCAUGCGUAACAUUAGCUAGUUGGUGAGGUAACGGCUCACCAAGGCAACGAUGUUUAGGGGAACUGAGAGGUUUAUCCCCCACACUGGAACUGAGACACGGUCCAGACUCCUACGGGAGGCAGCAGUGAGGAAUAUUGGUCAAUGGACGAAAGUCUGAACCAGCCAAGUCGCGUGAAGGAUGACGGCGCUCUGCGUUGUAAACUUCUUUUGUAGGGGAAUAAAAAGAGGGACGUGUCCCUUAUUGCAUGUACUCUACGAAUAAGGAUCGGCUAACUCCGUGCCAGCAGCCGCGGUAAUACGGAGGAUUCGAGCGUUAUCCGGAUUUAUUGGGUUUAAAGGGUGCGCAGGCGGUUUUUUAAGUCGGCGGUGAAAUUUUGCGGCUCAACCGUAAAAGUGCCUUCGAAACUGGAAGACUUGAGUAUAGAUGAAGUAGGCGGAAUUUGUGGUGUAGCGGUGAAAUGCAUAGAUAUCACGAGGAACUCCGAUUGCGCAGGCAGCUUACUAAGCUAUAACUGACGCUCAUGCACGAAGGCGUGG
rnacentral:rRNA from 1 species